rnacentral:rRNA from 1 species
CGCCGCGUGCGGGAUGAAGGCCUUCGGGCUGUAAACCGCUUUCAGCAGGAACGAAAAUGACGGUACCUGCAGAAGAAGGAGCGGCCAACUACGUGCCAGCAGCCGCGGUGACACGUAGGCUCCAAGCGUUGUCCGGAUUUAUUGGGCGUAAAGAGCUCGUAGGCGGUUUAGUAAGUCGGGUGUUAAAACUCUGGGCUCAACCCGGAGAGGCCAUCCGAUACUGCUGUGACUUGAGUUCAGGAGGGGAGCGGGGAAUUCCUAGUGUAGCGGUGAAAUGCGCAGAUAUUAGGAGGAACACCGGUGGCGAAGGCGCCGCUCUGGACUGAAACUGACGCUGAGGAGCGAAAGCAUGGGUAGCAAACAGGAUUAGAUACCCUGGUAGUCCAUGCCGUAAACGGUGGGCACUAGGUGUGGGUUCCAACUAACGGGAUCCGCGCCGUCGCUAACGCAUUAAGUGCCCCNCCUGGGGAGUACGGUCGC